GUGCUUGCGUCAGCAGCACACAUACUAAAAUUGAAACAAUACAGAGAAUAGCAUAUCCCCUGCACAAAGAUGGCACCCAAAUUUGUGAAGCAUUCCAUAUUUUU
ensembl:snRNA U6 U6 spliceosomal RNA